GUGAACGACUUUAUUAGAUUUUUCUCCAAACAAGAUGUGCUAAGUCGAUGGCACGCAGGUCCAUUCACAAGCGCUACAAACUCAUCCAAUGGUGUAAUUCAACCUGAUCUACACUCCAUGAAGAUUAAAGAGACAAAAUAAUGCCUGAACUGCAAAACAAGAUCGCAAUCAGUGCACAGAACGUAACCAACAUGGCAACCUUCCCCACUUUCAACUUUCCACACAGGUGUCUGCAGUAAAUGUGCUGUAUGUCCCCCACCCCCCACCUAAAUUUAAGUCACUCAACCAGUGAUGUUUAAGGGAACAAUUAUUCAGACACCAGUGACAUUUAAAGAGCUCCAAUUCAUCCAUAAAACUCAUUAGAACCAGUCUGACCGACCUAACAUUUCCUUCUAAAGACAAUUUAAUAAAACGUGUCAAAUUCAGGAUCUUUUUGAACCCUUACAUUUCAAACCUUCCAGAGUCCUGACAACAAUCUUCAAAACUGCAGCAUGUAUGAUGUGAAUUAUUAAAGCAGUGCUAAAGUUACUGAACACUAACUGAAAGCACAGAAAAUCUGAAAAUUUCAAACAGCAGCACUGUCAUUUAACUUGCGUAUCAAAGUGGAGGUAAGUUCUACACAGACCGGAGAGCUGCAUGCACACUGAAAGGAUUCCAACUACUUUGCUGCACAGUAAGAAUAAAGGGCAUGGGUUUGUGACUAGGCCGUCUCCUCUUCAGCCUCCUCCUCAAACUCGCCGUCCUCCUCAGCAGUAGCUUCUUGGUACUGUUGGUACUCCGACACCAGGUCAUUCAUGUUACUCUCAGCCUCGGUGAACUCCAUCUCGUCCAUACCCUCCC